AAUAUUGCACAAUGGGCGAAAGCCUGAUGCAGCAACGCCGCGUGAGUGAUGAAGGCCUUCGGGUUGUAAAGCGCUGUCUUCUGGGACGAUAAUGACGGUACCAGAGGAGGAAGCCACGGCUAACUACGUGCCAGCAGCCGCGGUAAUACGUAGGUGGCAAGCGUUGUCCGGAUUUACUGGGCGUAAAGGAUGCGUAGGCGGAUACUUAAGUCAGAUGUGAAAAUCCCGGGCUUAACUUGGGAACUGCAUUUGAAACUGGGUAUCUAGAGUGCGGGAGAGGAAAGUGGAAUUCCUAGUGUAGCGGUGAAAUGCGUAGAGAUUAGGAAGAACACCAGGGGCGAAGGCGACUUUCUGAACCGUAACUGACGCUGAGGCAUGAAAGCGUGGGGAGCAAACA
rnacentral:rRNA from 1 species